ACCAAUUUUAAAAUGGUCUAUACUAAAUUUGGAACAAUACAGAGAAGAUUACCAUGGCCCCUGCACAAGGUUGACACGCAAACUCAUGAAGCAUUUCAUAUUUAA